CGUUCCCGGGCCUUGUACACACCGCCCGUCACGCCAUGGAAGCCGGGAGUACCCGAAGUCCGCGUCCCAACCCGCAAGGGAGGGAUCGGCCGAAGGUAAGUCUGGUGACUGGGGCG
rnacentral:rRNA from 1 species